rnacentral:tRNA from 1 species
CGGGACGUAGCGCAGCCGGUAGCGCACACGUCUGGGGGGCGUGUGGUCGCUGGUUCGAAUCCAGUCGUCCCGA